rnacentral:rRNA from 1 species
AUGACAAGUGUUCAGCAGCAAAAGCAGACGCAGAUGCCCACCAGAGCCAUUCCCACAGGCAAAGCAAGCACCUUAAGCCCUCUCGCCACGGAUCCUCCUAGCCAGCUGAAUGUCCUUGGGCAUGAUGGUCACGCGCUUGGCAUGGAUGGCGCACAGGUUGGUGUCCUCGAAGAGACCCACCAAGUAGGCCUCUGCAGCCUCCUGAAGGGCCAGCACCGCAUGGCUCUGGAAGCGGAGGUCAGUCUGCACAGACAGAACGAGACAGUGGUUUUAGUUUACUUGAUUCAUACUAUAAGAGUUGCAUAA